UGGGGAGUAUUGGACAAUGGGCGCAAGCCUGAUCCAGCAAUGCCGCGUGUGUGAAGAAGGCCUGCGGGUUGUAAAGCACUUUCAGUAGGGAAGAAAAGCCUAGGGUUAAUACCCCUGAGUCUUGACGUAACCUACAGAAGAAGCACCGGCUAACUCCGUGCCAGCAGCCGCGGUAAUACAGAGGGUGCAAACGUUGUUCGGAAUUACUGGGCGUAAAGAGCGUGUAGGCGGCACGUUAAGUCGACUGUGAAAGCCCAUGGCUCAACCAUGGAAGUGCAGUCGAUACUGGCAUGCUAGAGUCCCGGAGAGGGUGGUGGAAUUCCCAGUGUAGAGGUGAAAUUCGUAGAUAUUGGGAGGAACACCAGUGGCGAAGGCGACCACCUGGACGGGUACUGACGCUGAGACGCGAAAGCGUGGGGAGCAAACAGGAUUAGAUACCCGCGUAGUCC
rnacentral:rRNA from 1 species